AUUGAACGCUGGCGGCAUGCCUAACACAUGCAAGUCGAACGGCAGCACAGUAAAGACUUCGGUCUUUAUGGGUGGCGAGUGGCGGACGGGUGAGUAACGCGUAGGAAUCUGUCCUGGAGAGUGGGAUAACCCGAGGAAACUCGGGCUAAUACCGCAUAAUGUCGAGAGAUCACAGGCAGGGGCCCCUUCGGGGCCUUGCGCCCUAGGUUGAGCAUACGUCGGAUUAGCUAGUUGGUGAGGUAAAGGCCUACCAAGGCGACGAUCCUUAGCUGGUCUGAGAGGAUGACCAGCCACACUGGGACUGAGACACGGCCCAGACUCCUACGGGAGGCAGCAGUGGGGAAUCUUGGACAAUGGGGGAAACCCUGAUCCAGCGAUGCCGCGUGUGUGAAGAAGGCCUUCGGGUUGUAAAGCACUUUAGGUGGGGAAGAAAGGUAAUGAGUGAAUAACUGAUUGCUUUGACGGUACCCGCAGAAUAAGCACCGGCUAACUCUGUGCCAGCAGCCGCAGUAA
rnacentral:rRNA from 1 species